rnacentral:rRNA from 1 species
CUACGGGAGGCACCAGUGAGGAAUUUUGCGCAAUGGGGGAAACCCUGACGCAGCAACGCCGCGUGAGCGAAGAAGGCCCUCGGGUCGUAAAGCUCUGUCAAGUGGGAAAAAAGUCCUUCGAUUAAUACCCGGAGGAUUUGAUGGUACCACUGGAGGAAGCACCGGCUAACUCCGUGCCAGCAGCCGCGGUAAUACGGAGGGUGCAAGCGUUGUUCGGAAUUACUGGGCGUAAAGGGCGUGCAGGCGGUUUGGCAAGUCAGAUGUGAAAGCCCUGGGCUUAACCCGGGAAGUGCAUUUGAAACUGCCUGUCUUGAGUAUGGGAGAGGAGAGUGGAAUUCCCAGUGUAGAGGUGAAAUUCGUAGAUAUUGGGAGGAACACCCGUGGCGAAGGCGACUCUCUGGACCAAUACUGACGCUGAGACGCGAAAGCGUGGGGAGCAAACAGGAUUAGAUACCCUCGUAGUC